rnacentral:pre_miRNA from 1 species
UUAACUCAAAUUUGUAUGGAGUUGGAACGUUUGUCUAUGUUUGCCGCUAGGGGCGCUGUUCUAACUGCAUACAUAUUUAAGUUA